rnacentral:lncRNA from 1 species
CCACGUAAGACAAGAAUGACUCUGUCUGAUCUCUGUGCAGGCUUAACUGUACCAACUCAUUCUAUUACCACAAUUUGACCAUCUUUCUACAAAAAUUUAAUCCCAAAACAAAAUGAAGCAUAAAGUUUCAAAAGAUCCAAGGCUGAUACAUAUGCUCAGGCUCCGUGUUUCAGCAUUGACCAGCUGGAAGCCUGUCUUUGAAGAACAUGGAGAGUAUAAUCUACAACUGUAAUUCUGCAAGUGCCUUAGACAAAGCACUCUCCCUCCUUGGCUACUGGAGUCUGAAGUGUACAUCUGUUCCUGAUGUAGAGCCUGGGUUUAUAGAAAGUCUGUGCAAAGCAAGAGUUGGCUGCUAUAGAACUAUCAAAUCUCUAAUUAGCAAGAAUACUGCCUAGCCCAAUCUCCAUGUUCUGUAGGGAUGGAAACAUCUUUUUCACAAGCAAAACGGGCCCAGGAGAUCUAAGAGUAACAAGAAAAAGAUGCCAUUAGCCUACCUGAUCCUUUGGAGCAGAACCCAGGCACCUGGCUGCUAACAAUCAUAAAACUGUAAUGACCUUGGCAUUGCUGCGUUGCCGGUGGUGGAACUCUGAGAUUGUGGUCACCAUCUCUUUUAGUAGUGGACUUUGCAAUCUAAUAGAACUGAUAAUAAAGAUGUAAUUUUAAAAAAAAUCGUCCA